rnacentral:rRNA from 1 species
UACGUAGGGGGCAAGCGUUGUCCGGAUUUAUUGGGCGUAAAGAGCGUGUAGGCGGCCAGGUAGGUCUGCUGUGAAAACUCGAGGCUUAACCUCGAGAUGUCGGCGGAAACCAUCUGGCUAGAGUCCGGAAGAGGAGAGUGGAAUUCCCGGUGUAGCGGUGAAAUGCGCAGAUAUCGGGAAGAACACCCGUGGCGAAGGCGGUUCUCUGGGACGGUACUGACGCUGAGACGCGAAAGCGUGGGGAGCGAACAGG